rnacentral:rRNA from 1 species
AGAGUUUGAUCAUGGCUCAGAUUGAACGCUGGCGGCAGGCCUAACACAUGCAAGUCGAGCGGCAGCGACAACAUUGAACCUUCGGGGGAUUUGUUGGGCGGCGAGCGGCGGACGGGUGAGUAAUGCCUGGGAAAUUGCCCUGAUGUGGGGGAUAACCAUUGGAAACGAUGGCUAAUACCGCAUGAUAGCUUCGGCUCAAAGAGGGGGACCUUCGGGCCUCUCGCGUCAGGAUAUGCCCAGGUGGGAUUAGCUAGUUGGUGAGGUAAGGGCUCACCAAGGCGACGAUCCCUAGCUGGUCUGAGAGGAUGAUCAGCCACACUGGAACUGAGACACGGUCCAGACUCCUACGGGAGGCAGCAGUGGGGAAUAUUGCACAAUGGGCGCAAGCCUGAUGCAGCCAUGCCGCGUGUAUGAAGAAGGCCUUCGGGUUGUAAAGUACUUUCAGCAGUGAGGAAGGGGAUAUCGUUAAUAGCGGUAUUCUUUGACGUUAGCUGCAGAAGAAGCACCGGCUAACUCCGUGCCAGCAGCCGCGGUAAUACGGAGGGUGCGAGCGUUAAUCGGAAUUACUGGGCGUAAAGCGCAUGCAGGUGGUUUGUUAAGUCAGAUGUGAAAGCCCGGGGCUCAACCUCGGAAUUGCAUUUGAAACUGGCAGGCUAGAGUACUGU